rnacentral:ncRNA from 2 species
CAGUGAGGUAGAGGUUGCGCGAUUGGAAGAGUAGCAUGCAUGAGGCCGGUGGGGCUGAUGAACGCAUGACGAAAGGCCUUCGCGCCGAAGUGUAUAACAGCCACACUGUUAUACGCUGGGACGGCAUCGAACAGGUGCCGGACUGCCGCAGAUUUUUCUGCGGAGUGCUAUCUGGAGA